AUGUCUCCACAGGACGCAGUUACCUCAUACAACUACCACCAGAAGAUGAUGGGAAAUUCUGCAGUAAUUGCAGUUUCCUGUGCCAGUACUGUUCCUGCUCCAGUCCUACCUAACUGUGUAACAGCUAAUCAAACUACUAGUGCUUCGUCAGUUUCCUCACAGAAUGCUAUACAGCCUCUAUUUGUACCUCCACCUGCACAAGGCAGGCCAGUGAUUGCUUCACCAUCUUAUCAAUACCAAAAAAAACCUGCUGCUGCCUCUUUCCCACCACCACCACCGCCACCUCCACCACCACCACCACCACCUCCACCUCCUUUUGAGGUGGAAGAGGCUUCAAACUUAGCAUCACAGCUUCCACCUUAUUCCUGUGAUCCAAAUGGCAGUGAUCUGCCUCAAGGUAAGCAGAUUGAGACUUGGGUAAGGUUAUUGAGUUCUGAGGCUUUUAUUUUAAUUUUUGAGCAUAUCUCUGGUUAGCCAAUAGCGUGGGUAGGGAACCAAAUGGAAAUUGACUUGAAAGCAUAAUGUUAGGUAAGGAAUGGAGGAA
rnacentral:lncRNA from 1 species